rnacentral:rRNA from 1 species
UACAGAGGUCCCAAGCGUUGUUCGGAUUCACUGGGCGUAAAGGGUGCGUAGGCGGUCGGGUAAGUCUGAUGUGAAAUCUCACAGCUUAACUGUGAAACUGCAUUGGAUACUAUUCGGCUUGAGAGUUGGAGGGGGGACUGGAAUUCUUGGUGUAGCAGUGAAAUGCGUAGAUAUCAAGUGGAACACCAGUGGCGAAGGCGAGUCUCUGGACAUUUCCUGACGCUGAGACACGAAAGCGUGGGUAGCAAACAGG